UACGUAGGGGGCAAGCGUUGUCCGGAAUCAUUGGGCGUAAAGAGCGUGUAGGCGGCCCGGUAAGUCCGCUGUGAAAGUCCAGGGCUCAACCCUGGGAUGCCGGUGGACACUGUCGGGCUCGAGUCCGGAAGAGGAGUGUGGAAUUCCUGGUGUAGCGGUGAAAUGCGCAGAUAUCAGGAGGAACACCAAUGGCGAAGGCAGCACUCUGGGACGUGACUGACGCUGAGACGCGAAAGCGUGGGGAGCAAACAGG
rnacentral:rRNA from 1 species